GGAAAUUUUGAUCACGUUCGGUUUCCCUGCAGCUUCCUCGUUGCCAUUCUUUGCCCGCUCUCUUCCGGUUGUGGGCGUAUACUGAACACAAGCAGUGUGCUACGUAACCACACGCACAUGUCCUACGCCUUCUCGCGAACACAAGAUUCCCGCUACCCCUUCUUAAAUUACGCGGGUGUGGAUCCCAGGUGGUACGCUCUAAAAUCAAGUUGCCCUCCUUCAGGAGAGCAGGUUCAACAGGGAUGCUGGACCUCCUCUUAUGAAGAGACCCUCGCCAAAGAAGUCACUUUUACACUCACCCAUCUUGGAGAAAAGGGAAAAGAUCUUUGACUGCAGGCUGUCUGAUACGUCCAUCACCACUGCAGUGGGCCUAUCUGCAGCAGGUUCCAGAGGAUCUCGGCGGAGCGGAAGAGCACCUGUCCCCCGGGGCCGGGCUCGUUCAUGUGGCAGCAGAUCCUGCUGGCGGCCUGGGCCUUCAGCAUUUUACUGCAGCUCACCUCUGCAGCCGUAUCAACGCA